AAUACCGCAUAAGCGCACAGAGCCGCAUGGCUCAGUGUGAAAAACUCCGGUGGUGUAAGAUGGAUCCGCGUCUGAUUAGCUGGUUGGCGGGGUAGAAGCCCACCAAGGCGACGAUCAGUAGCCGGCCUGAGAGGGUGAACGGCCGCAUUGGGACUGAGACACGGCCCAAACUCCUACGGGAGGCAGCAGUGGGGAAUAUUGCACAAUGGGGGAAACCCUGAUGCAGCAACGCCGCGUGAGUGAAGAAGUCAUUCGUGAUGUAAAGCUCUAUCAGCAGGGAAGAAAAUGACGGUACCUGAGUAAGAAGCCCCGGCUAACUACGUGCCAGCAGCCGCGGUAAUACGUAGGGGGCAAGCGUUAUCCGGAUUUACUGGGUGUAAAGGGAGCGUAGACGGCCAGACAAGUCUGAAGUGAAAAUCCAGCGCUUAACGUUGGAAGUGCUUUGGAAACUGCCGGGCUAGAGUGCAGGAGGGGCAGGCGGAAUUCCUAGUGUAGCGGUGAAAUGCGUAGAUAUUAGGAGGAACACCAGUGGCGAAGGCGGCCUGCUGGACUGCAACUGACGUUGAGGCUCGAAGGCGUGGGGAGCAAACAGGAUUAGAUACCCUGGUAGUCCACGCGGUAAACGAUGAUUACUAGGUGUCGGGGGGCUAGAGCCCUUCGGUGCCGUCGC
rnacentral:rRNA from 1 species